CACAAUAUAUUUACAUCAUAUAUAAUCUUAACUGUCCAGCCACGCAGCUGCUGGUGAGGUUUAAUGCUAGGACAGAGGGCCUGGCAGUUAGAGGGGAUUACGGCGCUGGGGACGAUGGUGAGAGAGGUUACAUCUUCGCAAAUGAAUCCCAGGCGAACGCUGAAGAGCAGACUCUGGUGCCCUCUCCCAGGCCAGACCCUGAAGCCUCCGAUGGCCCCUUCUCCGACUUUCCCAUUUUUGUGGGGUUGAGACGCGCAGUUGCAGUUGAAGGCCGCUCCCCAGAUCCCACUGGUGCCACGAUUUUGCCAAGCGGGGGCUCAACCCCCAGACCUCCAGAAAUGACGUCAGAAUCAUUUGCAUUCCGCUGCCUCUACCUGCCUGGUCCAGCUGGGACCCUGCCUCGCCGGCCGCGUGGCCAGAGGGUUGGGUGAGUGUGUAUGGGGAAGAGGGGCUGGACUCUGGUAUCCUUGGAUGGGGGGCACUCCAGGCUCUCCAGCCUCCUCGGCUCAGCCUGGGCCCCUCCCCAUCCAACAUCCACUCCAGUCCUCAUUCAACUUCCUCUUCCUGCGAAAGAG
rnacentral:sRNA from 1 species